rnacentral:tRNA from 1 species
GUCCUAGUAGCUUAAAUUCUAAAGCACUG